rnacentral:rRNA from 1 species
GGUAAUACGGAAGGUCCAGGCGUUAUCCGGAUUUAUUGGGUUUAAAGGGAGCGUAGGCUGGAGAUUAAGUGUGUUGUGAAAUGUAGACGCUCAACGUCUGAAUUGCAGCGCAUACUGGUUUCCUUGAGUACGCACAACGUUGGCGGAAUUCGUCGUGUAGCGGUGAAAUGCUUAGAUAUGACGAAGAACUCCGAUUGCGAAGGCAGCUGACGGGAGCGCAACUGACGCUUAAGCUCGAAGGUGCGGGUAUCAAACAGGAUUAGAUACCCUGGUAGUCCGCACAGUAAACGAUGGAUGCCCGCUGUUGGUACCUGGUAUCAGCGGCUAAGCGAAAGCAUUAAGCAUCCCACCUGGGGAGUACGCCGGCAACGGUGAAACUCAAAGGAAUUGACGGGGGCCCGCACAAGCGGAGGAACAUGUGGUUUAAUUCGAUGAUACGCGAGGAACCUUACCCGGGCUUGAA